rnacentral:rRNA from 1 species
GAUGAACGCUAGCUACAGGCUUAACACAUGCAAGUCGCGGGGCAGCAUGGGGGUUGCUUGCAAUCCCUGAUGGCGACCGGCGCACGGGUGAGUAACGCGUAUCCAACCUGCCCUUCACCACGGGAUAACCCGGCGAAAGUCGGACUAAUACCGUAUGUUGUCCAUUGACGGCAUCCGAUUUGGACGAAAGGCUUAGCGGUGAGGGAUGGGGAUGCGUCCGAUUAGCUUGACGGCGGGGUCACGGCCCACCGUGGCAACGAGAGGUAGGGGUUCUGAGAGGACGACAGCCAACACGUGUACUGCGACACGGACCUGCCGCCGACGGGAGGUAGCAGUGGGGGAGAGUGGGCAACGGGAGCGAGCCGGAAACAGACAAGUCGCGUGAAGGAUGAUUGUCGUAGGGAUUGUACAUUGCUGUGAUACGGGAAGAAGAAGAGGUACGUGGGACUCCCGGCAGGUACCGGAUGAAUAAGCAGCGGCGAAUUCCGUG